AUGAAACGUGGGUAAUCACUAACCAUCAUAGUGUGUUAUGACAUAUUAUAUCAUACUAUGACAGCGCAAUUUAGUAGUGAUUUACCACAGAUUAUUUUAUCUAGCAGCUGAUGGAAAUGAGUGGAGCUGUGAGGACUAGAUACAACAUGUAUUGUUGAGAGGGUGAGCUAUGAGGAGCUACAACAUGAUAUUGUUGAGAGAGUGGAGCUAUGGGACUAGAUACACACAUGAUAUUGUUGAGAGAGUGGAGCUGUGAGGACUAGAUACAACAUGAUAUUGUUGAGAGAGUGGAGCUGUGGGACUAGCUACAACAUGAUAUUGUUGAGAGAGUGGAGCUGUGGUGAGGACUAGAUACACACAUGUAUUGUUGAGAGAGUGGAGCUGUGAGGACUAGAUACAACAUGAUAUUGUUGAGAGAGUGGAGCUGUGAGGACUAGAUAUACACCUGAUAUGUUGAGAGAGUGGAGCUGUGGGACUAGAUACAACAUGAUAUUGUUGAGAGAGUGGAGCUGUGAGGACUAGAUAUACACAUGAUAUUGUUGAGAGAGUGGAGCUGUGAGGACUAGCUACAACAUGAUAUUGUUGAGAGAGUGGAGCUGUGAGGUGAGGACUAGAUACAACAUGAUAUUGUUGAGAGAGUGGAGCUGUGAGGUGAGGACUAGAUACAACAUGAAUUGUUGAGAGAUUGGAGGGUGAGGACUAGCACAACAUGAUAUUGUUGAGGAGUGGAGCUGUGGGUGAGGAUAGAUACAACAUUAUUGUUGAGAGGAGUGGAGCUGUGGGACUAGAUACAACAUGAUAUUGUUGAGAGAGUGGAGUGUGAGGUGAGGACUAGCAAACAUGAUAUUGUUGAGAGAGUGGCAGCUGUGAGACUAGCUACAACAUGAAUUGUUGAAGAGUGGAGCUGUGAGGACUGAGAUACAACAUGAUAUUGUUGAGAGAGUGGAGCUGUGAGGACUAGAUACACAUGAUAUUGUUGAGAGGUGGAGCUGGGACUAGCUACAACAUGAUAUUGUUGAGAGAGAGUGGAGCUGUGGAGGACUAGCUACAACAUGGAAAUUUACAGGCAGUCCUAGCUUGCAUCCCAA
rnacentral:lncRNA from 1 species